GAGUUUGUAACACCCGAAGUCGGUGAGGUAACCUUUUAGGAGCCAGCCGCCGAAGGUGGGACAGAUGAUUGGGGUGAAGUCGUAAUAAGGUAGCCGUAUCGGAAGGUGCGGCUGGAUCACCUCCUUUCUAAGGAUAUUAUACGGAAUAUAAGACCUUGGGUCUUAUAAACAGAACGUUCCCUGUCUUGUUUAGUUUUGAAGGAACUUUGUUCCUUGAAUAAGUUAAGAUGGGCCUGUAGCUCAGCUGGUUAGAGCGCACGCCUGAUAAGCGUGAGGUCGGUGGUUCGAGUCCACUCAGGCCACCAUCUUAUAUAACGGGGCCUUAGCUCAGCUGGGAGAGCGC
rnacentral:misc_RNA from 1 species